GAAUGGUCUAAGAUUCCUUUGCACUAUGGCUCCCCCUUCUGGUUCUGCAAUGAGUAGUUACAUUGUUCCUCAGAGUGCUGAAUUUUGAGAGCAAAGCAUUACAGAAAUGUAAAAAAAUCUUGAAGGCCAGGUGCGGUGUCUCAUGCCUGUAAUCCCAGCACUUUGGGAGGCUGAGAAAACAAGCUCAUAUUACCAAGUGUGAAAUUACAGCAAGUCUUACAGGCUGGGAACUGGAAAAGAGCUUCCCCAUCAUGGUGGAUUAUACAACCAGUGGUGGAGAGUAACUCCAAAAUAUAGCAUCUUUCUACUCAUCUUACUAAAGCUCAAAGAAGGUGAUCUACAAGGUACAUGCAAAGAUAAUGAAAACAAGGCUCAAAAUAAAAACAAGAAAUCUUUAUGAAAUUACACAAAGUGUAUGUGUUUGAACUUGGAUUUGCUUCCAACUCUGCUUGACUCUGAAAACCAUGCCCUUUCCUCUACAUGAUAUGUUCAUAUGCUCUACCCCACUUAUGGGUGGAAACUCCUCCGUCAAGCUUAUUUAAUCAAUGAAUGAAUGACUCUUCUAAAGGCAGAUACCAGCAGGUUUGGUGGUAGAGCCAGUCCUGCAAAUGUGCUCAAUGUCUUAAGCCACCUGACAGCCAGACUCCAUAUGAAAAGAUUUAACUUCUUAUUAAAAUACCUAUAAUAGUCCAGGUGCAGUGGCUCACACCUGUAAUCCCAGC
rnacentral:lncRNA from 1 species